UACUCCCAGAAAGUGAGGAUCGAUGGAUUGUUUCUCCUGCACUGGAUAAAUGGAUAUUCAAUCUCUUAAUGUUGAAAAGGAGUGAGUGCCAUUGUGCCACAAGAAAACUUUUGUUUUAUUUGUAGUUCUCGGCUCAUGUUAAAUUGGUUCCACAAUAUCACUUACCCAAAAGAAAUGUGGGACUUCAAGUACAGUACAGAAGAACACAAAGUCUGUGACCUCCAGAGAUGCUGGGAAGCCAUCAGUUGAGUUGCUGCAACGCCAUGGUCUCUUCUAUAGUCUUCAUCAAAAAUGCUCUUCAAGGAGACUCCCCGAAUCCAGAAAUGCCUUGACAAGUUCGCCAGCGUACCCGUACGAUCUUUAGAUAGAGACGCCGAAUACAACACACAACUCUGCUUGCUGUGUUAUUGUAGGACUUUAUAUAUUUUUUGGUGGCGUACCCUGCAACAGCAUGUUUGUUGGUAUGACUGUUUUUACUUCUGUUUAGAAGGCAACCCAGCUAAGAGAUAGAGUUUCACAGACAUGAAGAGUGUGAAGUGACCUGACAUGUAUGUACCAGAUCUGCUUGAUGAAAGUCAAAUGCCUUACUAAAUUCAUCACCCAUAUGAUAAAGCAUCAGGAAAUUUAUCUCAACAUGUUGAGUAAUGCUGUU